rnacentral:rRNA from 1 species
GGAAAUCUCACCAGGCCCGGACACUGGAAGGAUUGACAGAUUGAUAGCUCUUUCUUGAUUCGGUGGGUGGUGGUGCAUGGCCGUUCUUAGUUGGUAGAGUGAUUUGUCUGGUUAAUUCCGUUAACGAACGAGACCUUAACCUGCUAAAUAGUGACGCGGUUCAUCGAACCGUGGGCCACUUCUUAGAGGGACUAUCGGAUUCAAACCGAUGGAAGUGUGAGGCAAUAA